rnacentral:rRNA from 1 species
AACGAGAAAGCACUCUUCGGAGUGUAAGUAGAGUGGCGAACUGGUGAGUAACAGGUGGGUCAUCUGCCUCCGAGUGGGGGAUAACCGUUGGAAACAGCGGCUAAUACCGCAUACGGCCCUUCGGGGUUAAAGGCUUCGGUCGCUUUGAGAUGAGCCCGCUUCCGAUUAGCUUGUUGGUGAGGUAAUGGCCUACCAAGGCGACGAUCGGUAGGUGGCCUGAGAGGGCGGACACCCACACUGGGACUGAGAUACUGCCCAGACUCCUACGGGAGGCAGCAGUCUAGGAGCUUAAACAAUGCGCGAAAGCGUGAUCUAGCGACGCCGCGUGCGGGAUUGAAGGCCGUGAGGUCGUAAACCGCUGUCAGCAGGGAAGAAUGCCCCGAUGGUGAAUCGGGGAGAGACGGUACCUGCAGAGGAAACCCCGGCUAACUCCGUGCCAGCAGCCGCGGUUAUACGGAGGGGGCGAACGUUGUUCGGAUUUACUGGGCGUAAAGGGUGCGUAGGCGGUCUGAUCAGUCCGAUGUGAAAUCCUCUGGCUCAACCAGAGAACUGCAUUGGAAACUGUCAGGCUCGAGGAUGGGAGAGGCAGGUGGAAUUCCUGGUGUAGCGGUGGAAUGUGUAGAUAUCAGGAAGAACACUCGUGGCGAAGGCGGCCUGCUGGCCCAUUUCUGACGCUGAGGCACGAAAGCCAGGGGAGCGAACAGGCUUAGAUACCCUGGUAGUCCUGGCUGUAAACGGUGAACACUAGGUGUCGGGGGUAUCGACCCCCCCGGUGCCGCCGCAAACGCAUUAAGUGUUCCGCCUGGGGAGUACGACCGCAAGGUUGAAACUCAAAGGAAUUGACGGGUCCCCGCACAAGCGGUGGAGGAUGUGGUUUAAUUCGACGCAACGCGAAGAACCUUACCAGGGCUUAAACCGCAGAGUAAACCCCCUGAAAGGGGGGCUGCUUCGGCAACUCUGUAGAGGUGCUGCAUGGCUGUCGUCAGCUCGUGUCGUGAGAUGUUGGGUUAAGUCCCGCAACGAGCGCAACCCUUAUCCUUAGUUACCAGCGGGUCAUGCCGGGGACUCUAGGGAGACUGCCCGUGAAAGCGGGAGGAAGGUGGGGAUGACGUCAAGUCCUUAUUGCCCUUAUGUCCUGGGCUACACACGUCCUACAAUGGUCGGUACAGCGGGCAGCGAAGUCGCGAGGCUAAGCAAAUCCCUCAAAGCCGGCCCCAGUUCGGAUUGCAGUCUGCAACUCGACUGCAUGAAGGUGGAAUCGCUAGUAAUCGCGGAUCAGCACGCCGCGGUGAAUACGUUCCCGGGGAUUGUACACACCGCCCGUCAAACCACGAAAGUCGGCGGUACCAGAAGUCACUGAGCUAACCGCAAGGAGGCAGGUGCCUAAGGUAUGGCCGGUAAUUGGGGUUAAGUCGUAACAAGGUA